rnacentral:rRNA from 1 species
CAGCCGCCACGGUAAUACGUAGGGUGCAAGCGUUGUCCGGAAUUAUUGGGCGUAAAGAGCUCGUAGGCGGUUUGUCGCGUCUGCUGUGAAAACUGGAGGCUCAACCUCCAGCCUGCAGUGGGUACGGGCAGACUAGAGUGCGGUAGGGGAGAUUGGAAUUCCUGGUGUAGCGGUGGAAUGCGCAGAUAUCAGGAGGAACACCGAUGGCGAAGGCAGAUCUCUGGGCCGUAACUGACGCUGAGGAGCGAAAGCGUGGGGAGCGAACAGGAUUAGAUACCCGGGUAGUCCCUGUCUCUUAUAA